rnacentral:ncRNA from 1 species
ACCAAGGUCAACAAAUAACCUGAAAAACAAGGAUGAGGACAGAGGGAACUUUGAUUCUGACAUGUAAAUCGAUUACUUCACUUUGAUAUGCGAGCGAAAGACUAAUCAAACCAUCUAAUAAUUGUCCCCUUCUGAAGUUUGUCUCAGAAUAACUAGAGUAUGUAAUGAAGCAGUUAUAUUCGGUAAAACGAAUGAUUAGAGGAAUUGUG